rnacentral:rRNA from 1 species
GACAGAGGAUGCAAGCGUUAUCCGGAAUGAUUGGGCGUAAAGCGUCUGUAGGUGGCUUUUCAAGUCCGCCGUCAAAUCCCAGGGCUCAACCCUGGACAGGCGGUGGAAACUACCAAGCUGGAGUACGGUAGGGGCAGAGGGAAUUUCCGGUGGAGCGGUGAAAUGCAUUGAGAUCGGAAAGAACACCAACGGCGAAAGCAGCCUUCUGGGCCAACACUGACGCUCAUGCACGAAAGCGUGGGGAGCAAACAGG